CUACUGGGGUAUCUAAUCCUGUUUGCUACCCACGCUUUCGUGCAUGAGCGUCAGUUUUAUCCCAGGGGGCUGCCUUCGCCUUCGGUGUUCCUCCACAUAUCUACGCAUUUCACUGCUACACGUGGAAUUCCACCCCCCUCUGACAAACUCUAGAUCACCAGUCUUAAAUGCAAUUCUCAGGUUAAGCCCAAGGAUUUCACACCUAACUUGAUGAUCCGCCUGCGCACCCUUUACGCCCAGUUAUUCCGAUUAACGCUCGCACCCUACGUAUUACCGCGGCUGCUGGCAC
rnacentral:rRNA from 1 species